rnacentral:rRNA from 1 species
AGAGUUUGAUCMUGGCUCAGGAUGAACGCUAGCGGCAGGCUUAACACAUGCAAGUCGAGGGGUAGAUUAUCUUCGGAUAAUUGAGACCGGCGCACGGGUGCGUAACGCGUAUACAAUCUACCUUUUACAGAGGGAUAGCCCAGAGAAAUUUGGAUUAAUACCUCAUAGUAUUUUYGAAUGGCAUCAUUUGAUUAUUAAAGUUCCAACGGUAAAAGAUGAGUAUGCGUCCCAUUAGCUAGAUGGUAAGGUAACGGCUUACCAUGGCUACGAUGGGUAGGGGUCCUGAGAGGGAGAUCCCCCACACUGGUACUGAGACACGGACCAGACUCCUACGGGAGGCAGCAGUGAGGAAUAUUGGACAAUGGGCGCAAGCCUGAUCCAGCCAUGCCGCGUGCAGGAAGAAGGUCCUAUGGAUUGUAAACUGCUUUUAUACAGGAAGAAACACCUCUACGUGUAGAGACUUGACGGUACUGUAUGAAUAAGGACCGGCUAACUCCGUGCCRGCAGCCGCGGUAAUACGGAGGGUCCAAGCGUUAUCCGGAAUCAUUGGGUUUAAAGGGUCCGUAGGCGGUUUAAUAAGUCAGUGGUGAAAGCCCAUCGCUCAACGAUGGAACGGCCAUUGAUACUGUUAAACUUGAAUUAUUAGGAAGUAACYAGAAUAUGUAGUGUAGCGGUGAAAUGCUUAGAGAUUACAUGGAAUACCAAUUGCGAAGGCAGGUUACUACUAAUAUAUUGACGCUGAUGGACGAAAGCGUGGGGAGCGAACAGGAUUAGAUACCCCUGGUAGUCC